GAUGAACGCUGGCGGCGUGCCUAAUACAUGCAAGUCGAGCGAACAGACGAGGAGCUUGCUCCUCGGACGUUAGCGGCGGACGGGUGAGUAACACGUGGAUAACCUACCUAUAAGACUGGUAUAACUUCGGGACACCGGCUCUAAUACCGUAUAAUAUAUUGAACCGCAUUGUUCAAUAGUGAAAAACGGUUGUGCGGUAACUUAUAGAUGGAUCUGUGCCUCAUUAGCUGGUUGUGAAGGUAACGGCUUACGAAGGCGACGAUGCGUAGACGACCGGAGAGGGUGGUAGCCGGCACUGGAGCGGAACCACGCACAAGGCGCCUACGGGAGGCAGCAGACGGCAACCUUCCGCAAUGGGCGAAAGCAUUACGGAGCAACGCCGAGUGAGAGAUAGAGGCCUUGGGAUAGUAAAAAUGUGUUAUUAGGGAAGAACCACUGUGUAAGUAAAUAUGCACGAAUUGACGGUACCUGAUCAGAAAGCGACGGCUAACUACGUG
rnacentral:rRNA from 1 species